CCUACGGGGGGCUGCAGUGAGGAAUAUUGGUCAAUGGACGCAAGCCUGAACCAGCCAUGCCGCGUGCAGGAAGACGGCUCUCUGAGUUGUAAACUGCUUUUGCACGGGGGUAAACGCAGAUACGCGUAUCUGUUUGACAGUAUCGUACGACGAAGGAUCGGCUAACUCCGUGCCAGCAGCCGCGGUAAUACGGAGGUUUCAAGCGUUAUCCGGAUUUAUUGGGUGUAAAGGGAGCGUAGGCGGUCGGACAAGUUAGAGGUGAAAUCCCGAGGCUCAACUUCGGAAUUGCAUCUGAUACUGUUCGGCUAGAGAGUAGUUGCGGUAGGCGGAAUGUAUGGUGUAGCGGUGAAAUGCUUAGAGAUCAGACAGAACACCGAUUGCGAAGGCAGCUUGCCAAGCUACUUCUGACGUUGAGGCACGAAAGCGUGGGGAGCAAACAGGAUUAGAUACCCUUGUAGUC
rnacentral:rRNA from 1 species